rnacentral:rRNA from 1 species
UGCGUAGGCGGCCCUUUAAGUCGGAUGUGAAAGCCCGCGGCUUAACCGCGGAAUGGCAUUCGAAACUGGAGGGCUUGAGUGUCGGAGAGGGUAGUGGAAUUCCCAGUGUAGCGGUGAAAUGCGUAGAUAUUGGGAGGGACACCAGUGGUGAAGGCGACUACCUGGACGAUAACUGACGCUGAGGCACGAAAGCUAGGGGAGCAAACA